CCUACGGGUGGCAGCAGUGAGGAAUAUUGGUCAAUGGCCGUAAGUCUGAACCAGCCAUGUCGCGUGCAGGAAGACGGCUCUAUGAUUUGUAAACUGCUUUUAUAGAAGAGUAAAGCUGUCCACGUGUGUACAUUUGCAUGUACCCUAUGAAUAAGCAUCGGCUAACUCCGUGCCAGCAGCCGCGGUAAUACGGAGGAUGCAAGCGUUAUCCGGAUUUAUUGGGUUUAAAGGGUGCGUAGGUUGAUUUUUAAGUCAGCGGUGAAAGGUUGUAGCUUAACUCGAAAACUGCCGCUGAUACUGUAGGACUAGAGUGUGUAUGCGGUAGGCGGAAUGUGUGGUGUAGCGGUGAAAUGCAUAGAGAUCAUGCAGAACACCGAUUGCGAAGGCAGCUUACCAAGCUAUAACUGACACUGAAGCACGAAAGCGUGGGGAGCAAACAGGAUUAGAUACCCGGGUAGUC
rnacentral:rRNA from 1 species